rnacentral:pre_miRNA from 1 species
CUGAUUUGCUUGGUGCUGGUCGGGAACCAUUACAUCCACAGUUUCCGUAGAAACUUUCCCUUAGUAAAUUGGACCCCGUCUUGCAUCAAUCGAAUCAG